GGAACCGUAGUGUAGUGGUAAGCGUGGUUGCCUCUCAUCCAGUCGGCUUGGGUUCGAUCCCAGACGGUCCCG
rnacentral:tRNA from 1 species